GUUGCUUUGAGUCUUUCAUGCUUGUUUGAGAAAUCCUUUAAAUAUAUCCAUGGUAACCCUGAAAAACAAACCCUGGAUCACCAGUGGCCUAAUGGAAAUUUUAAACAAGAAAAAAGAGCCUUUAAACAAGCAAAACAAGGAGUUAUUGGGGAGUAUACAGAAGCAGUUAAAAGUCAAGAUUAGAGACAGCAAGGAGAAGUACAGGAAGAAGCUGGAGAACAACCUUCAGAGGAACGAUCUCACAGAUGUGUGGUCAGGGAUGAAGAAGAUUACAGGCUUCAAGCAAAAGGAGGAUCAGAUCAAUGGAAGUCUGGACAGAGCAAAUGAGCUGAACACAUUCUUCAACAGGUUCUUCAACUCAUCAUCAUAAUCUCCUGUCUCCAGCCAUACAAAUAUCCCACCUUCCUCUGAUACCCCUUUUUCCCACUUAUACCCCUUUUUCACUGGCUCUACUCCAGCUCGGCCUGCCUGGGCUCCUCUCUGCUUCGGAGUGAACGCGUUUCCACAGGCCCGGUUCGACUCCGUAGCUGCAUGACACCUCCUGGCGGUCAGGGGUAUAGCGCCCCGCCUCCAGGCGCUAUGUGUUGUGCUUUGUUAAAAUGCGUCCUAACGCGAGUUGUUGUUUUUCUGAGACAAAAGAAGAAGAGAGAGAACUGAGCAAUUUUUUAUAGCCUGAUUGUGAUUUUUCUGAGAUCUCAAGAAAAUGCUCAGUGGGAGGAAUCCUGCGAUUGUGGUGAGAAUGACAGCUGAUCUCCACCUUGCAGCGGGAGGAAAGCAGGUGGCCCAGACAUUGCAGGAUGUUGGUAAACUGUCACCGCAGAUCAUCAGUGUGGUUAUUUCUGCAGCCUCUGAGUUGUAGCAUGUCUCAUCAGUGUCCGUCUUCCUGACUGCCAGUCUGUGUUACCUUCAGGAUGCCCAGAGACCUUCACCUUUAUGGAGCAGGCAUGAGCUCAAUGUGUUGAUUUAUAAUUUAAAAAAAAUGCUUCUGAUGUUCUCACAGAGUUGAAGUGCAUUAACAAUCUGUUGUUUUUAAUUUCUCAAUAUGUUUAAUUGUGAUUCAUCUAAAGUUCAAGUUGCACUGAAAACAAAUAAAGCUGUAUUCCUUCUAA